CCUACAAGGAGGGUGGGGUGGGGUGGGGGGGUGUCUGUGAGGACCUCACUGCAGCCAACAGCCCAGGACAGUAGCCACCGGUCAUUCGGAUGGUCUACCUCUGGAUCCAAGCUGAGUUCAGAAUAUUGUUUCGAGUUUUAAAGCCGUGAGGUUUUAUUUAACAGGUACAGAUGCUAUGGAGUCAGAAAAACCAUGCAAAUGACAGAGGCCAUGACCAAACCUCAGCGGAAGCACCCUGUCCAGCGCAGAGAAGACGUACAAGGACAGGACUGAAAAAUUGAGCUCCCAUCUCUGCUUGCUGUUCAUCUAACCACAAUACACCACUGCCCACCAGCAAGGUCCAGCCUGCCAGCCAAGCUGAGGAUAAAUACGCAGCAGACACAUUCUGCCCGAGGUGCUUAUCACACAGUAUCACUGCUGCAAGAUCAGGACAUUCCAGAGGCUCCCGCAAUGUGGCAAACAGAACUGACCAGCCUGAGACCAAAGGUCUAAGUAUGAAUCAGAAGCAAACCAACAGGGUUUUGUUGCUCCAAGGCCCCCAACACACCAAACAUCUCUCCAGCCCUUCCUAUUUUCAGAAUAGCGGAACAGAUCGAGGAGAAGGAGGAAUCUUCUGGAAAGGCUCAAGGGAGGUCAGGACACUGCAGAGGCGGACCAGACCAAUAGCCGUGCGGCUGGCUGUCCACGUCCGUACCUAGCACACGCUCUCCGAGGCCGCCGAGCUCCAGGUAGGCGUUCUGGAAGGCAUCCUUCAGCUCCUCAUCCAGGGGCUGCUCUUUGCCGUGCAGGAGGAUGGAGCUGCAGCGGUCCAAGAUCCUUUCCGGGGCACCC